rnacentral:rRNA from 1 species
UACGAAGGGGGCUAGCGUUGCUCGGAAUCACUGGGCGUAAAGCGCACGUAGGCGGAUUGUUAAGUCAGGGGUGAAAUCCUGGAGCUCAACUCCAGAACUGCCUUUGAUACUGGCGAUCUUGAGUCCGGGGGAGGUGAGUGGAACUCCGAGUGUAGAGGUGAAAUUCGUAGAUAUUCGGAAGAACACCAGUGGCGAAGGCGGCUCACUGGCCCGGUACUGACGCUGAUGUGCGAAAGCGUGGGGAGCAAACAGG